UUCAGACUGCUGCAUGGAGGACUCUCCAGCAGCACUGAACCAAAAACACAUCUCUGUGGGUCGUUAUGUUACAAUCCAAAGGAACGUCGCUGCUGUGAGAGAAAUCAAGAAUCUCACUGGUUCUGUGCCUCAGGUCAAAGGAAGACACCACCCACUGUGUACAACCCCCAUACACAAGUCUGUUGUGAUGGAUGUGUAUCAGGAAAGAAGCCUUGGAUAGAUCAAUGCUGUGGAGAGACGCCGUAUGGCUCAGCACAACGUGGAGUUCUGUGUUGUAAUAAGAGCUUGUACGAGGGCAGAGACGAUGGAGAGGAAUGUUCGGAGAUAGGUAUUCCUUACAACCCUGCUAAAGGGACCAUGUGUUGUUCUCACUUUCAUGGCAGCCCAGGACAACACUGCUGUGGGACAGAAAUUUACCAGCCUGAUGUUGAGAUUUGCUGCAAUGGACACAGACAUCCCAGACUGAGAAACAUCCACUGCUGUGGGGUCAAAGCCUACAACAUUAAAGACCCACAGAUGAAGUGCUGUGCAGGAACACUGUACAAUCUGACAUCAUUAGAUGAGCAUGGGGGGGAUGCGCAGUGCUGUGGAUCCAUUCUGCAAAAGCCACAGGAGAUUUGCUGCUCAGGUGAGGACAAAGAGGUGCUUUACACUGUCAAGACAGGAUUUGGAUGCUGUGGUCACCUCUAUUACAACACCACUUUGUGGUCGUGCUGCGCUGGGAGGCUUACAUUAAUCAAUGAAUCAGAACAGGAUCAGAGAAAGAUGAUUAACGAAUACCGACAUUUCUCUGUGAAUAAUCUGAACAAAACUUCUCUUUGCAAUAAAGUGCGCAUUGGGAUUGUGGAAAGUGUGUCUCUGCAUAGCAUUGUUUUCAAGAGCAUGCUAAAAGUCCAUGGGAAGAAGGCCAAAGUCAAAGCUUUGUCUUUGCCGUACACCCUGAAAAUAGUUGAUCACUGCAGCUCCCCUAAACUGAUUCCUGGGAAGAUCUAUAUCUUUAACAACGUUAAUAUUUUCACUGAUUUCAAUCAUCAAUCUGUUCUUCAAUCACUGCAUUUCAUUUUUUCCAAGUGUUCACCUUAGACCAGUAAUCACAUUCUAGUUACAACUGUAUUCUUACUUGUGUUACAAAGGUCAUCUCCUUGAAGACAGAUUAGAAGAAGAGAAAAUCAUUAAAAGUGCCAUAUGGGCAUUUCUUUCAUUUUAGUGCAUUGAAGGACAAGAACGUGCAAGUACAAACUACUUCGAGCUUGGAAGUAACAUGCACAUUGAUCCCAGCCAAGCAGCUAGAGUCCUCAUUCUGUUUAUUUGGGACUGUAGUCUAACUAGUGUGAUGGUACACCUAAGGUCAUGUUAGAGUAAUGCAAAAAAAGAUAAGAUGAAUAAAAAUUAUUUAUUUAUAAAACUAUUUAAAAUGUAAAGUAAUUAAGGAAGUAAUAACUACUUCAAAAUCACCAAGAAAUGUCAAACUUUAAUUACUUUAGUUACAAUUAUGUCUUUACUUGUGUUACUUUUAAAAAAAACAAUGAGCAAUGUGUAAUUUCUUACUGUUUAUGGGAACCAUCCCAUCUUUAUGUAACAGUACAACAUUCAACCUUACAGACCCACACAACAAAAAAAGAAGAUAUAAACGUGAUCAUCUUUAGGUAUAGCCACAAUUACCAGCAAAGUUAGUGGAAAAACAGCUCAAAAUUUUCAAAUAGCCAGUUCAGUAGAGUUCUCUGGAAUUGACACAGUCAUCUUAAGCAGCGGUCCCCAACCUUUUUAUGCCCGACAAUAUUUUCAUGGACGGACCUUUAACACACGUGAAAAGACCCAGGAAAACCGAGUUAACGAGCAAAACGAUAACAAAAUAACGCUGAAAACUGAUAAAAACCCUGAAAACCAUACAUUUCAUACCUGAGCCUCUACUCUCGCAGCCUGGUACCAAACGACUCACGGACCGGUACCGGUCCGAGGCCCGGGGGUUGGGGACCACUGAUCUUAAGCACUGCUCAGGGUCUUAGGGUCCUUUUUCAGGUUCUUGACAAGAAUUGAAUCCUGUUUGCAGCAAUGGAUAGAUGCUUCUCACAGUGAAAUCAAUGUAUUGCACUAAUCUCAAUUGCUCAAUGUUGUACACCACUGUAUUUUUUGUGUUUCUGCAAGGUGAGCCCACUUAAUUGUUGCAUUGUUGCAUACAUGAAAAAGCUAAAACUGUUUUUUUAAGUCAAACCCACACUAUUGAAUGUAUGCAUGUAUUAUAAAUCAUAUGUUUUAUUUUACUAGCUAAAGCUAGAGAACAAUAAGCACUUACUUCUGAAUGCCAUAGAUGUUAUAAGAAUUGCUAUUUCUUCUUAACUACCCAACUGUGUUCACCUUUGUGUAAGCUGUAGUUACUUUUUAACGAGAAUGUGAUUUACGUAAUGUGAUUAAAGAUAGAGUACUGUAACUGGCAGAUGCAGAGUGGGUACUAUGGAUGAGCCCCAGGGGUCCAGGCUCACCCAAUAAAGUUAUAGUGCCUCCUGAGCUGAAUUGUAUGCUAUACUGUAACUAAGUUACACUAAUUCACACAAUUUGGUGAUUAAAAAAAACGCCAAACAAACCUUGGACCCAUCCAGGUCAAACUUUGGGAAGUGCCUUUCUCUUUGAAACAAAAAAAAAAAGAAAGAAAGAAAGAUUCGUCAGGUUGUGAAGCUAGUUUUAAAUCAUGACCCUAUUCAAAGGUUUCGAAAUAAAUGGAAAUCUGUUCAAGAUAUUUACUUAGGUUUAUUGAGCCACUUCUGCACUUCUGUCUCUUUUCCUCUGCAAUAUAAGACAGAUGCAUUUUUUUUAAAAUAUUUCUCUGUGAAUGUUUGGUGCUAUGCAUGUAUUUAUAUUUAAUUUUUCUAUAGAAUAGUAAUGUGACUUGUGUUGAAUGACUCCUGUCAAAGUUGGUUGUUCUUCCAGUUCAUAUGGUCUGCAAUUGACCCAGGGUAAAGGUUUGCCAUUUUUGUACUGUAUAUUGCUUUAUUAGAAGUUGCUGACAUCUGUCAUUUUUUGAGUUGAUUUAUUAAAGAAAACAAUAUUGUACUCAUAAAUGCACAUUUAUUAUUGUCUAAUUCUGUCUUCCAACAAACCGAUGUAGUUCAAGGGCUUAAAAUGAAUCCAUUAAAAUACAUAAGACUGGGGCCAGUUUUUUGCACCACCAUCUUAAAUACAGUAGCCAAGAUUAAUAUUGCCAAUCCAUCUAACUACGAUUUAUGUAUGUGGCUAUGUACUGGUCACAUGUGGACAACAGAACUCACUGACAUUUGCAUACUAUGGAGACAAAGUUUAAGACUUGAAUUAGGAGAAGUAAGAAAGCAGAAUUAAGUUGAAGGCAAUCUACUAGUAAUUGGCGGAACCACAAAGAGGAACACAACAUAGAUUUUCCAAAGAAGGUUUGACUGUUGUACUAAAUUUUGUAUAUAUUUAAGUUUAUUUAAACCACUUUCUAAUGCAUUGAACUAUAAUCUUGAAGGCAGAGUGAUCAAACGGUAUUGAAUGUCAAAAUUAUUCUAUACAUGUGUAGCCCUGUCUGAAAUUAUUCAGGCUUACAGGGUAAAGAAAAAAAAAGUCUACUGUUAUAAAAAAUGGUUAAAAUAUAAAUAGUUGAUAAAAUGUUUAAAAUCAUAUGCUUUGGUACAAAUGUAUUUCAUUUACAGUUAAGAGUCCAAUAAAUAAAAGGGUUUCAUGAUUUAGAGUUCAUUUUCUGUGCAGAAUCAAUAUGUUGGGGUGUAACCUAAGUUUAUUUACC
ensembl:lncRNA